rnacentral:rRNA from 1 species
UACGGGAGGCAGCAGUGGGGAAUAUUGGGCAAUGGGCGAAAGCCUGACCCAGCGACGCCGCGUGAGGGAAGAAGGUCUUCGGAUUGUAAACCUCUUUCANCAGGGAAGAAGGAAGUGACGGUACCUGCAGAAGAAGCCACGGCUAACUACGUGCCAGCAGCCGCGGUAAU